rnacentral:rRNA from 1 species
CUACGGGUUGCACCAGCGGGGAAUAUUGCACAAUGGGCGCAAGCCUGAUGCAGCCAUGCCGCGUGUAUGAAGAAGGCCUUCGGGUUGUAAAGUACUUUCAGCGGGGAGGAAGGGAGUAAAGUUAAUACCUUUGCUCAUUGACGUUACCCGCAGAAGAAGCACCGGCUAACUCCGUGCCAGCAGCCGCGUGUAAUACGGAGGGUGCAAGCGUUAAUCGGAAUUACUGGGCGUAAAGCGCACGCAGGCGGUUUGUUAAGUCAGAUGUGAAAUCCCCGGGCUCAACCUGGGAACUGCAUCUGAUACUGGCAAGCUUGAGUCUCGUAGAGGGGGGUAGAAUUCCAGGUGUAGCGGUGAAAUGCGUAGAGAUCUGGAGGAAUACCGGUGGCGAAGGCGGCCCCCUGGACGAAGACUGACGCUCAGGUGCGAAAGCGUGGGGAGCAAACAGGAUUAGAUACCCCCGUAGUC